rnacentral:rRNA from 1 species
UGAGGAAUAUUGGUCAAUGGGCGUGAGCCUGAACCAGCCAAGUCGCGUGAGGGAAGACUGCCUUAUGGGUUGUAAACCUCUUUUGUCGGGGAGCAAAGCUGCCACGUGUGGCGGUUUGAGAGUACCCGAAGAAAAAUGCAUCGGCUAACUCCGUGCCAGCAGCCGCGGUAAUACGGAGGAUGCGAGCGUUAUCCGGAUUUAUUGGGUUUAAAGGGUGCGUAGGCGGACGAUCAAGUCAGCGGUCAAAUGUCGGGGCUUAACCCCGGCCUGCCGUUGAAACUGGUUGUCUUGAGUGAGCGAGAGGUAUGCGGAAUGCGUGGUGUAGCGGUGAAAUGCAUAGAUAUCACGCAGAACCCCUGAUUGCGAAGGCAGCAUACCGGUGCUCAACUGACGCUGAUGCACGAAAGCGUGGGGAUCAAACAGGAUUAGAUACC